rnacentral:rRNA from 1 species
GAUGAACGCUAGCUACAGGCUUAACACAUGCAAGUCGAGGGGAAACGACAUCGAAAGCUUGCUUUUGAUGGGCGUCGACCGGCGCACGGGUGAGUAACGCGUAUCCAACCUGCCCAUCACUUGGGGAUAACCUUGCGAAAGUAAGACUAAUACCCAAUGAUAUCUCUAGAAGACAUCUGAAAGAGAUUAAAGAUUUAUCGGUGAUGGAUGGGGAUGCGUCUGACUAGCUUGUUGGCGGGGUAACGGCCCACCAAGGCAACGAUCAGUAGGGGUUCUGAGAGGAAGGUCCCCCACAUUGGAACUGAGACACGGUCCAAACUCCUACGGGAGGCAGCAGUGAGGAAUAUUGGUCAAUGGGCGAGAGCCUGAACCAGCCAAGUAGCGUGUAGGAAGACGGCCCUAUGGGUUGUAAACUGCUUUUAUAAGGGAAUAAAGUGAGAGUCGUGACUCUUUUUGUAUGUACCUUAUGAAUAAGGACCGGCUAAUUCCGUG